ACUCCUACGGGAGGCAGCAGUAGGGAAUAUUGGUCAAUGGGUGCAAGCCUGAACCAGCCAUGCCGCGUGCAGGAAGACGGCCUUCUGGGUUGUAAACUGCUUUUACCAGGGGAUAAAAGGCCCAUGCGUGGGACAUUGAAGGUACCUGGUGAAUAAGCCACGGCUAACUACGUGCCAGCAGCCGCGGUAAUACGUAGGUGGCGAGCGUUGUCCGGAUUUAUUGGGUUUAAAGGGUGCGUAGGCGUCCUGACAAGUUUUAGGUGAAAUGCCCAGGCUCAACCUGGGAGCUGCCUGAAAAACUGUUGGGAUUGAGUACAGACGAGGUAGGCGGAAUUGACGGUGUAGCGGUGAAAUGCAUAGAUAUCGUCAGGAACACCAAUAGCGUAGGCAGCUUACUAGACUGUAACUGACGCUGAGGCACGAAAGUGUGGGGAUCAAACAGGAUUAGAUACCCUGGUAGUCCACACUGUAAACGUUGAUGACUCGCUGUGUGC
rnacentral:rRNA from 1 species